rnacentral:rRNA from 1 species
UGGGGAAUAUUGGACAACGGGCGAAAGCCUGAUCCAGCCAUGCCGCGUGUGUGAAGAAGGCCUUUUGGUUGUAAAGCACUUUAAGCGAGGAGGAGGCUACCGAGAUUAAUACUCUUGGAUAGUGGACGUUACUCGCAGAAUAAGCACCGGCUAACUCUGUGCCAGCAGCCGCGGUAAUACAGAGGGUGCGAGCGUUAAUCGGAUUUACUGGGCGUAAAGCGUGCGUAGGCGGCUUUUUAAGUCGGAUGUGAAAUCCCUGAGCUUAACUUAGGAAUUGCAUUCGAUACUGGGAAGCUAGAGUAUGGGAGAGGAUGGUAGAAUUCCAGGUGUAGCGGUGAAAUGCGUAGAGAUCUGGAGGAAUACCGAUGGCGAAGGCAGCCAUCUGGCCUAAUACUGACGCUGAGGUACGAAAGCAUGGGGAGCAAACAGG